UGAACGCUGGCGGCGUGCCUCAUACAUGCACGUCGAGCGAACGGACGAGAAGCUUGCUUUUCUGAUGUUAGCGGCGGACGGGUGAGUAACACGUGGAUAACCUACCUAUAAGACUGGGAUAACUUCGGGAAACCGGAGCUAAUACCGGAUAAUAUUUUGAACCGCAUGGUUCAAAAGUGAAAGACGGUCUUGCUGUCACUUAUAGAUGGAUCCGCGCUGCAUUAGCUAGUUGGUAAGGUAACGGCUUACCAAGGCAACGAUGCAUAGCCGACCUGAGAGGGUGAUCGGCCACACUGGAACUGAGACACGGUCCAGACUCCUACGGGAGGCAGCAGUAGGGAAUCUUCCGCAAUGGGCGAAAGCCUGACGGAGCAACGCCGCGUGAGUGAUGAAGGUCUUCGGAUCGUAAAACUCUGUUAUUAGGGAAGAACAUAUGUGUAAGUAACUGUGCACAUCUUGGCGGUACCUAAUCAGAAAGCCACGGCUAACUACGUG
rnacentral:rRNA from 1 species